rnacentral:rRNA from 1 species
GGCCUACACAUGCAAGUCGAACGGUAACAUAGAGGAGCUUGCUUUUCUGAUGACGAGUGGCGCACGGGUGCGUAACGCGUAUACAAUCUACCUUUUACAGAGGGAUAGCCCAGAGAAAUUUGGAUUAAUACCUCAUAGUAUUGUUUUAUGGCAUCAUAAAGCAAUUAAAGAUUUAUCGGUAAAAGAUGAGUAUGCGUUCUAUUAGCUAGAUGGUGUGGUAACGGCACACCAUGGCAACGAUAGAUAGGGGCCCUGAGAGGGGGAUCCCCCACACUGGUACUGAGACACGGACCAGACUCCUACGGGAGGCAGCAGUGAGGAAUAUUGGACAAUGGAGGCAACUCUGAUCCAGCCAUGCCGCGUGCAGGAAGACUGCCCUAUGGGUUGUAAACUGCUUUUAUACAGGAAGAAACCGCUCUACGUGUAGAGUUCUGACGGUACUGUAAGAAUAAGGAUCGGCUAACUCCGUGCCAGCAGCCGCGGUAAUACGGAGGAUCCAAGCGUUAUCCGGAAUCAUUGGGUUUAAAGGGUCCGUAGGUGGAUAAUUAAGUCAGAGGUGAAAGUCUGCAGCUCAACUGUAGAAUUGCCUUUGAUACUGGUUAUCUUGAGUCAUUAUGAAGUAGUUAGAAUAUGUAGUGUAGCGGUGAAAUGCAUAGAUAUUACAUAGAAUACCAAUUGCGAAGGCAGAUUACUAAUAAUGUACUGACACUGAUGGACGAAAGCGUGGGGAGCGAACAGGAUUAGAUACCCUGGUAGUCCACGCCGUANACGAUGGUUACUAGCUGUUCGGUUUUCGGACUGAGUGGCUAAGCGAAAGUGAUAAGUAACCCACCUGGGGGAGUACGUUCGCA